rnacentral:rRNA from 1 species
AUUGAACGCUGGCGGCAUGCCUUACACAUGCAAGUCGAACGGCAGCGGGGACUUCGGUCCGCCGGCGAGUGGCGAACGGGUGAGUAACGUAUCGGAACGUACCUUUCAGUGGGGGAUAACGUAGCGAAAGUUACGCUAAUACCGCAUAUUCUGUGAGCAGGAAAGCAGGGGAUCGCAAGACCUUGCGCUGAUUGAGCGGCCGAUAUCAGAUUAGCUAGUUGGUGAGGUAAAGGCUCACCAAGGGGACGAUCUGGAGCGGGUCUGAGAGGAUGAUCCGGCACACUGGAACUGAGACACGGUCCAGACUCCUACGGGAGGCAGCAGUGGGGAAUUUUGGACAAGGGGGGCAACCCUGAUCCAGCCAUGCCGCGUGAGUGAAGAAGGCCUUCGGGUUGUAAAGCUCUUUCGGCCGGGAAGAAAUCGUAUGGGUUAAUACCCUGUGCGGAUGACGGUACCGGCAUAAGAAGCACCGGCUAACUACGUGCCAGCCGCCGCAGUAACAC